AACGAACGCUGGCGGCAUGCCUAACACUUGCAAGUCGAACGAGACCUUCGGGUCUAGUGGCGCACGGGUGCGUAACGCGUGGGAACCUGCCCUUAGGUUCGGAAUAACUCCCCGAAAGGGGUGCUAAUACCGGAUAAUGUCUUCGGACCAAAGAUUUAUCGCCUUUGGAUGGGCCCGCGUUGGAUUAGCUAGUUGGUAGGGUAAAAGCCUACCAAGGCGACGAUCCAUAGCUGGUCUGAGAGGAUGAUCAGCCACACUGGGACUGAGACACGGCCCAGACUCCUACGGGAGGCAGCAGUGGGGAAUAUUGGACAAUGGGCGAAAGCCUGAUCCAGCAAUGCCGCGUGAGUGAUGAAGGCCUUAGGGUUGUAAAGCUCUUUUACCCGAGAUGAUAAUGACAGUACCGGGAGAAUAAGCUCCGGCUAACUCCGUG
rnacentral:rRNA from 1 species